GAAGAGUAUAAUCAUGAUGUUACAUGAGACGUGGGAUAUGUAAAAGUUUUACAAGGAACCCGGAAGUCAAAAUAUAUCUUGACAAAUGGAGUCCAUGAAAGAGUUUGAAGUGAAGUGAAUCUUACUUCAAUGUUAAUUAGAACUCCUGUAACUGCCCUUUUCUUAGCAAGAUCCAAGAAUUCAUUAAGAGUAACGAACUUUCCUGCAUUCUUGUUUGCAGGGUUUCGAGCAAGAGGGCCAUCAAAAACGCUUGCAAGUUGAGCUGAAAAGGGAGAAAAGCAUCAUAUGUCAAAAGCUUGAAAAGGUGUUAUAACCAUUUUACUAUUAAAUAAAGCGUUUUGCUUACGUUUGAGUGAUUGAAUUUCAGUCCAAGUGAGAUCAAAGGAGAAUAUUCCAUUCUUAUCUUGAAUUUCAGGUAUCCUGGUAGAUCGGUCCAUGAAAAGAGAUGCUGCAGUGGUUGUCCCUAUAAGAUCAGCAGAAGGCAAGCAGAAGGCGGUUCCAUCCUUGGACAGUUGAACAGAACAAUCGAUUAUCUCGGUUCCAUCAUCUAUGGCUUUCUGGUAUGCAAGAUCAGUCGACCCAGGGUAAUCUCCACUUGCUCCGUCGUCAGAUAUUAUCAGUGCUUUAAUGCAAGAAGACAACGAGUUAUUCCAUGUAGCAAUAGAUUGCAUAAUUUUGUUUUCCAAGACUAUGAAACGAUACAAAGUGUAACACUAUGAAACGAUACAAAGUCUUACCUUUUACAAUUUUGGGAGCAUUCUUGUUCUGGGCUAGGCAUGCUGCAACAUGAGCAGUUCUCAGGUCAGAACUAGAUCAUGUAAAACCAAGGAAGAAAGCUAAUGUAAAAUUUUGAGACAGUUUCAGUCAGUUUGACUUUUUGAUAGGUUUUACAGUACUCUUCCUUUUGACUCAUUGAGAAAUAUAUUAUAG
rnacentral:lncRNA from 1 species